AAUAGUUACUUCCGGUUUUGCAUACGGAAGUCAAACGUUUGAGUCGGUCAGGUAUCAAAAGUGUGACCGACUUGCUAACUUAAACAUGAACGUCAACAUUCGACCUGCGACCAGAGUGGACUGCAAAGACAUAUCCAGAAUGAUAAUGGAGUUGGCGGUUUAUGAAAAGAUGCCUGAUCAAGUGAAAAUAACAUGUGAAGAACUGGAGCGUGAUGGCUUCCACCAGAAUCCCUUUUUUGAGUGUCUUGUUGCAGAAGUACCCGAGGAGAAUAAAGACGACUUCACAACUGUUGGAUUCGCCCUUUACUUUUACAUCUACAGUACAUGGAAGGGACGGUCGAUGCAUUUAGAGGAUUUAUAUGUGAUGCCACAAUUCAGAGGAUUUGGCAUUGGAAAAAGUUUACUGAAUGCAGUCGCUCAGGUGGCCAAAGAGAAGCGGUGUGCGCGUUUGCAGUUGAACGUGUUGGACUGGAAUACUGCGUCACGAGACUUCUAUGCUGCAAAAGGAGCUCAGGAUCUCACUGUUGAGGAAGGAAGGCAUUUAGUGCGCUUUGAUGGACAAAGCUUAGAAAAUUUGGCAAAUGAAACUCCAAAGAAUUAAAAGGGAUUAAUAACAUACUUUUAUCUGUUCUUCUGGUCUUAAACAAAAUAAAAAAUUCCUGUUAAAUAAUUUUGUAAUGUUUAUUUUUGGGAGAAAAUAUGUAUUUUAGAUUUUAGACUUUUUAUACUACAUCAAGCCAUAACUAUACCACAAUAAAAUUCUGGAAAGGAGAUGGUCCAACUCUUAUCAAAUCUCCUAUAAUCCCUGUAACAGACAAUAAUGCAAAGCAAAGAUUUUUAAUUAUUUAUACAAACACAUGUAAUACCACAUCUGUCCCGCAGGGGGCACACUCACCAUAAUUAACUUGCUGGGAUGAUCUGCACACGUUUAUUUGUUAACCACCUGAAUAGAAAUCACUGUACGUCCUCAAAAUUACUCCAAAAUGUUUUAUUUGCAUAUAAAACAAUAAAAAAAUACAGAAGAAUGUGCAUAAUAACCUUUAAAGCCAUCAGCGUGCAUUAAAAAUAUAUAACAUUUAUCCACAAAUACACAAAACCUUAAAGGUGCUGUACAUGUCUUCGGCUCCAAAUUACAUUUUUUUUUCCAACCAAAAGAAAGAACACUAUCGGUUAGCAUAUGUUGCCAAUAAUUGUUUGAAAGAACAUUCAUUUUCUUUGCCGCUUAAUCCAGGUUUAAAACAACAAAUUGUACUUUUUCUAUGGUUUUCAGCGUUAAAUUGCCGGAAAAAAUGUCUUUCGGCCCAUAUAAGGUGAUUGGCCACGGCUGCCCACUGCACACGUACAUGUCCAUAGCGCGUGAAGGCAACAAUUUUCAGUCAUGCCAUUGUUACAAGCUAUACAUUCAAUGACAGCUAAUGUUUGGAGCAAAUUUUUGUGAAAUCGCUAUCAUUAGCUGACAACAAACACAACUAAUGUGUGUACGUGUGUGUUACAUGGGGCGCACAAGAAGGCGGGAUAUAAUGCUUGCUGUACAUUCGAGUUAGUUCGGGCUCCUCGAGGCAGCCGCUUAUCUGUGACAUUGAGCAGCUCGCUGGGGUGAUCUGCAUACACUGAUAUGUCCUGUAUAACACUGGAAUAGAAUCACUUUACCACUUCAAAAUUACUCCAAAAUGUUUUUAUUUGUAUAUAAAAAAAGAAUAAUUACCAAACCAUAUUUAUAUUCACUAAUAAGGUAACUACAGUGUAUUAAACAUACUGUUCCAACAUUUAUCCACUAUUACAUAAACCCUUAAGUUUAUUAGUGACAUCUUUUCACUCAGUGAUCCUGUUACUGAUUUGGUUUUGUCCUGAACAUACAUGUGAUUGUGUAUUUCUGAAUCGGAGCUCGCACACUGAACUUUGUGUAAAAAAAAAAAAUAACACUAAUGAAACAUGAUUUGUAUAUUUUCCUGUCUUGAAAAACUGCAUUCUUUGACUGCAAAUAUUUACAUCCAGUGAGCUUUCUGAUGCAGGCUAUUCAUACCAUGUUCACUGCUGUGCUGUUAUGAUUAUAUUGAUAUGUGUGAAUAAUCAUGUGGCGUUUAUCUGUAGUUCAAAAAUAUAAAAAAAGAGAUUCAGAUUAGGUAUGAUUACAUCUUUGUUUGAAAAUCCAUCACACAUAACUUUGUUCAACUCUCCAUCCAUUCCAGUAAUAUGUCACACGUAUGCAUUCCUUCCAUAGUUGCUGUGAGCAGAUUGGGAUGCCACAGUGGACAGAAGGCGGCCUCGGGACGACGGCUGGCUCUUUAAACCUGCACGCACACAUGAGACAGGCACCUCCACAAAGGGCGAGUGUAGCUGAAGACCAGCCGAUGUACAAGCCCUCGCCAAUUUCAUACCUGUGACACAGUAACAUUUAAGGUGAUUGGUGCAUUUCUUGUUAUUAUUCACAGUUGUCACGCUAUGUCUACUUACUUUGUUCCUGGGUAGAAUUGGUCAAAGAACUGCUGGGUGAUGUUGGCUGCAUACCAAGACA